rnacentral:lncRNA from 1 species
CAACAUUUAGAUAAAAAAAAGAAAUUGUAUUUGAGUAAGAGCUGUGUCGUAAAAUAAUGACCCCUUAAAGGCAGAAAAUGAUAUUCUAUCAUAUGGGUGAUAAGGGUACUCGUUUAUGUUUAUUAUUUGAUUGAAGUGGGUAAUUGGAUGUUUCAUGAAACUUUACAAAGCUACUGUACACUGCUUAUGCUGUACAUAAAAGAAUAUGAUUGCAGACCAAAAGUGUAAAGGAAAGAUAACCAAACUUAUGAUAGAUUUGUUCACUAUUUAUCAACAUUUAGAUGGAAAAAAAGAAAUUGUAUUUGAGUAAGGGCUGUGUCCUAAAAUAAUGACCCCUUAAAGGCAGAAAAUUAUAUCCUAUCAUAUGGGUAAUAAGGGUACUUUUUUAUGUUCAUUAUUACCUUGACGUAGGGUAAUUAAAUGUUUCAUUAAACUUUACAAAUCUACUGUACACGACUUAUUAUGUACAUAAACGAAAAUGAUUGCAGACCAACAGUGUAAAGGGAAGGUAACCAAUGUUAUAUUUUUAAAAGGGG